rnacentral:rRNA from 1 species
CUGCUGCCUUCCGUAGGAGUUUGGACCGUGUCUCAGUUCCAAUGUGGGGGACCUUCCUCUCAGAACCCCUAUCCAUCGUUGUCUUGGUGGGCCGUUACCCCGCCAACUAACUAAUGGAACGCAUCCCCAUCCCAUACCGAAAUUCUUUAAUAAUCCCAUCAUGCGGUAGGACUAUAACAUCGGGUAUUAAUCUUUCUUUCGAAAGGCUAUCCCCGAGUAUGAGGCAGGUUGGAUACGUGUUACUCACCCGUGCGCCGGUCGCCAUCAACA